GCUUAGUUGAGUUGAGUAUUUGUAUUUGAAACAUAUAGUUAGUUUUCUUCUUUCAUUAUCUUAUUCAAUGUAGAGAAUUUAUUCCAAGCAUGUGAAUUCUACUAAAAAAUCAUGGGAAUGUGAUUACUGUCUUUCAUAGAAGAACUUGAAUAGUUUUCUCAAUAGUUCUGCUUGGAUUUGAGUAUGUCCCGUUUUAUUUCCUUUACACCCCUCAUUGUACACUCACUGCAAUAGUAUACCACAAUUAGGCAAAACAUCUGUAAUAUUAUAUGCAGAAGGGAAGAGCAAAGAAAAAU
rnacentral:misc_RNA from 1 species